rnacentral:rRNA from 1 species
AUGCUAAGAGCAAAAUACAUCAACCCGUUUUGCAGGGACCAACACAAAAUGAACACUAGGACAAAGCAACCUAAAGCCAAUAGACAGCCAACAACCAACUUCCAAGAUCAGCAGCACAAAUGGCCCGUCCAACUUCACUUCACCAUCUUUGGAAUUAGCCAGCAAGACGAGGGACUCCAGGUCUCCAUCCCUACGAAGCGCGAAACACUUCACUUGCCACCUGCUCGACUAGUCUUGCUCCUGGCAACAACGUUUUUGUCUUCCGGUCCUUUAUCUGCAGAGUGGGCAUUUCAGAGAUCCAAUUACACAUUACUUUCACCAGCACCACCGGAUAGUAAAAUUUUGUUAUAUUAA